rnacentral:tRNA from 1 species
CAUUAAAUGGCUGAAAG